GAAGUGGAGACUGAAAUCAGAGUGACUCACAGGGAGACUAUGACAAUCGUCCCAAAUCAGGACUGGCUGCGUGGCUGGGGAGGAAACCAGAACUAAACUAGAAGGAGGCAGGUUGUGACUCAGAUGGAAAUAGAACUAACAAACUUGGUGGUCAAGAGGACAGGAAGUCACCUUUCAAGGAAGGAAAGGAAUGUGUACACGAAGAUAUCAAAUUCUCAAAAAGAGCAAGUCUGUUGAGCCAUCACCAUCCCUGUUUGGACAGUGUUUCCUGCACCAGGACACCUCCUAAACUUCUGACCAGUCUGGAGAUUGAUUGCACUGGGGUCAGGUGCUAAGUGCUCUAAAGAGUUGCCACCAAAAGAAGUUAAGUUCUGGCAUAAACAUGGUGAAGGAGCUGCUAUGAAUGAGGGUGUGGCCAAUGUUUCCGCUUUCCUUUUGCUGAGGAGAGCAAUUUUUCUCCUACUAAUAGGAUUCUUUAGUGGUGAUCAAUA